CCUACGGGAGGCUGCAGUGGGGAAUAUUGCACAAUGGGCGCAAGCCUGAUGCAGCCAUGCCGCGUGUGUGAAGAAGGCCUUCGGGUUGUAAAGCACUUUCAGCGGGGAGGAAGGCGGUGAGGUUAAUAACCUCAUCGAUUGACGUUACCCGCAGAAGAAGCACCGGCUAACUCCGUGCCAGCAGCCGCGGUAAUACGGAGGGUGCAAGCGUUAAUCGGAAUUACUGGGCGUAAAGCGCACGCAGGCGGUCUGUCAAGUCGGAUGUGAAAUCCCCGGGCUCAACCUGGGAACUGCAUUCGAAACUGGCAGGCUAGAGUCGUGUAGAGGGGGGUAGAAUUCCAGGUGUAGCGGUGAAAUGCGUAGAGAUCUGGAGGAAUACCGGUGGCGAAGGCGGCCCCCUGGAUAAAGACUGACGCUCAGGUGCGAAAGCGUGGGGAGCAAACAGGAUUAGAUACCCGUGUAGUC
rnacentral:rRNA from 1 species